rnacentral:rRNA from 1 species
UAGGGAAUAUUGGACAAUGGAGGCAACUCUGAUCCAGCCAUGCCGCGUGAAGGAAUAAGGCCCUAUGGGUUGUAAACUUCUUUUAGACGGGACAAAACCCCUUUCCGUGUAAAGGGUUGAUGGUACUGUCAGAAUAAGCAUCGGCUAACUUCGUGCCAGCAGCCGCGGUAAUACGAAGGAUGCAAGCGUUAUCCGGAAUUAUUGGGUUUAAAGGGUGCGUAGGCGGACUAAUAAGUCAGUGGUGAAAGCCUGCAGCUUAACUGCAGAAUUGCCAUUGAUACUGUUAGUCUUGAGUACAGUUGAGGUAGGCGGAAUGUGUCAUGUAGCGGUGAAAUGCUUAGAUAUGACACAGAACACCGAUUGCGAAGGCAGCUUGCUAAGCUGUAACUGACGCUGAGGCACGAAAGCGUGGGGAGCAAACA